rnacentral:rRNA from 1 species
UACAGAGGGUGCGAGCGUUGCUCGGAAUCACUGGGCGUAAAGGGCGUGUAGGCGGGAAGGAAAGUCAGAUGUGAAAUCCCCAGGCUCAACCUGGGAACUGCAUUUGAAACUCCCUUUCUUGAGUACCGGAGAGGAAAGUGGAAUUCCUGGUGUAGAGGUGAAAUUCGUAGAUAUCAGGAGGAACACCAGUGGCGAAGGCGGCUUUCUGGACGGUGACUGACGCUGAGACGCGAAAGCGUGGGGAGCAAACAGG